rnacentral:lncRNA from 1 species
AAAGGGUGGACAGCAGCCACCAUUUAAGGAAGAAGUCCAGCUGAAUGUAGCUUUGUUCAACUAGCCACAAAUGUGGGUGGGGAAAAAAAAUUAAAAUAACGUAGACGUGUCCAAAGUAAACCCGAAAGGUUGUAAAGUUUAAAAGUCCACCAAAUUGUGCUCACAUUGUAAUUAAAAAGCAAAUGCUGGCACAUCUCUUCCGAGGAGUUAAACGGUUUGAAUUAUGGAUGAGACGGCUUCUUUCAAGCUGAGCCUCUCGUUUGGACACUCAUGGCACCAGGCAAGGACACAGCCUGAAGAAGCUGCAGCUAAUCACCAGACACCCCUGCACUUCUCCCACUUCUGAAACGCGUGUGGGCCCCUGAGAUAAGAAUGAGAAUGUCUCCUGUCACUUUCAGCUGGAGGCCCUGUGAUGGCGCCUGCCUCUUGUUUCUUUCCCCAAAAGUGGAGGCCACGUGCCAAGCUAUGAGUCAGCAGGUAAAAGUGCGGGGCUGCUCCAACCCCGAUAAUCUGAGCUUGAUCCCAGGGUUCCAUGGUGGAAGGAGAGAUCUGAAUCCAGAAACUUGCUUUCCUACCUCCACACUCAUACUAUGGCAGCUGUGUGUACCUGCUGACUCCAAAUCACACACACACACACACACACACACACACACACACACACACACACACCACAUAUACAAACUCACUGUUAAUAAUAAAUUAAAUUAAAAUUAAAAUAUGUGUUUA